rnacentral:rRNA from 1 species
GACGAACGCUGGCGGCGUGCCUAAUACAUGCAAGUCGGGCGGACCGAACGAGGGCUUGCUCUUGUUUGGUCAGCGGCGGACGGGUGAGUAACACGUGGGCAACCUGCCCGCAAGACCGGGAUAACUCCGGGAAACCGGAGCUAAUACCGGAUAACACCGAAGACCGCAUGGUCUUCGGUUGAAAGGCGGCCUUUGGGCUGUCACUUGCGGAUGGGCCCGCGGCGCAUUAGCUAGUUGGUGAGGUAACGGCUCACCAAGGCGACGAUGCGUAGCCGGCCUGAGAGGGUGACCGGCCACACUGGGACUGAGACACGGCCCAGACUCCUACGGGAGGCAGCAGUAGGGAAUCUUCCGCAAUGGGCGAAAGCCUGACGGAGCGACGCCGCGUGAGCGAAGAAGGCCUUCGGGUCGUAAAGCUCUGUUGUGAGGGACGAAGGAGCGCCGUUCGAAGAGGGCGGCGCGGUGACGGUACCUCACGAGAAAGCCCCGGCUAACUACGUG